UACGGAGGGUGCAAGCGUUAUCCGGAUUUACUGGGUUUAAAGGGUGCGUAGGUGGGUUGGGAAGUCAGUGGUGAAAUACUUUCGCUUAACGAAGGAACUGCCAUUGAUACUCUCAAUCUUGAAUGCAGUGGAGGCGGGCGGAAUGUGUCAUGUAGCGGUGAAAUGCUUAGAUAUGACACAGAACACCCAUCGCGAAGGCAGCUCGCUACACUGCGAUUGACACUGAGGCACGAAAGCGUGGGGAUCAAACAGG
rnacentral:rRNA from 1 species